rnacentral:snRNA from 1 species
GUCCUCAGCGACGGACCGGGC